GACAGAGGUGCCGAGCGUUAGGCGGAAUCACUGGGCUUAAAGCGUGUGUAGGCGGACCGUUAAGUACCUUGUGAAAUCCCCCGGCUCAACCGGGGAACGGCUGGGUAUACUGGCGGUCUUGAGCCACCUAGGGGCGAGCGGAACAAGCGGUGGAGCGGUGAAAUGCGUAGAUAUCGCUUGGAACGCCGACGGUGAAAACAGCUCGCUGGGGGUGUGCUGACGCUGAGACACGAAAGCCAGGGGAGCGAACGGG
rnacentral:rRNA from 1 species